CUGGCUCAGGAUUAACGCUGGCGGCGUGCCUAAUAUAUGCAAGUCGAAUGGUAGCAAGUACCAUGGCGAACGGGUGAGUAACACGUAGGUAACUUAUCUAUAAGACGAGGAUAACCACUGGAAACGGUGGAUAAUACUGGAUAGGACAUUAAGAGGCAUCUUUUGAUGUUUAAAGAUUUAUCACUUAAGGAGAGGCCUGCGGCGCAUUAGCUAGUUGGUGAGAUAAAAGCCCCACCAAGGCGAUGAUGCGUAGCCGGACUGAGAGGUUGAACGGCCACAAUGGAACUGAGAACGGUCCAUACUCCUACGGGAGGCAGCAGUAGGGAAUUUUCGGCAAUGGGCGAAAGCCCUGACCGAGCAACGCCGCGUGAACGAAGAAGUAUUUCGGUAUGUAAAGUUCUUUUAUUUGGGGCGAAAAAAUUAAAAUUGACGGUACCAAAUGAAUAAGCUCCGGCUAGCUACGUGCCAGCCGCCGC
rnacentral:rRNA from 1 species